GAACUGUGACCUCAUAGACUGAUGAAAUUUGAGACACUUAAGCUGCAUAUGCUGCUUCUGGGCUACGAGUUCUGUGUCAUAUCUUAGCUUCCGUUUUCAGACAAUACAUCUUUGAUGAUCGAAAACAACAACAGCCUGAAAAAGUUCCUUGUAGUUCUAAGAGCCCAAUAGUACAGAAUACAGUCUUUAUUAUGUUCUUCUCUGGAUAAAAGAACUGGUGGACUUUCUAACAUGAUCCAAGAAUGAAGAAAACAAAAAUCUCAAAACCUACCUUUAGGAACAAAAAGGGCACAUAGCAGGAAGCUGAAAUAUGGAACGUCUUCUGAGAGCACAGAGAACAUUUAGCAAAAAGUGGAAAAUCUGACAAUACUGUACAGUCACAGUUUUCCUCUCCAUAACAAUAAUUUUUCCUCCUCUCACUAAAAUAGAGCAAUUUUUAUUGUCACAAGCACAUGUGUAUUACUGGCAAUAAGGAUAUAGCUGUAUAGGACACCUCCUUAAACAUCUUCUUUAUUUUAAGAUUCAGUUAGGGGGAAAUGACUAGGUGUUCCUAGCACUUUCUGGUUGCCAUGGAUACCUGUCAUCCACAUCCAGAGCCUGCAGGUUACACUCAGGGACUCUUGCCAGCUCAUGAAUAAUAUCCGUGAAGCCCGCUGCUGCUGCGAUAUGUACACAUGUCUUCCCACUCUCAUCAUCAUAGUUGAUUAUGGACGGCCCCUGGUGAUGGCUCAGGAUGAUGGAGCACAGAAUCCUAUUUCCACUCUGGAAAAGAGAGUCAAAGAAAGCUCAUUAUGUACAAUCCAGUGUUCUUCUCUGUCUAGGCAUGUUAAGAUAAAAAUACAAAGGAAAAAAAGGAAAAAGAAAGAAAGAAAGAAAAAAGAUGAAAAGAGAAAAGAAAAUGGAAAAAAAGAAUAAAAAUACAUUCUAUCUAA